GCGACCUCUUUCUCUCCCUCGUCUCCCGCUCCACCGCCGCCGCCCCAUCUCCCGCUCCGCCGCCGCCCCUACUGCUCCACCGGCCCGACCUCUUCUUCGAGCGCGACGGCAGGAGCAGCUCCACCUCUCCAUUCCCCCACGUGAUAACACUCCAGACCCCCACCCCAUGCCCGGCCGCCGCUAGGGUUUCGGGAAGGAGAUGAUGAGCAGAGCGGUCAAAUCCGUGGCGGACGGUGCCUCCCCAAGCUCCCGUCGGGGCGAGGCACUGGAGGCCGCCACCCUCCCCUCACGUGCAUCGCGGUUCUGGAUCGGCCGCCGGCAUGCUUGAGGUGUAGCCUUUCCCCUUCCCCUAUCUCUUCUCUCUCUCACUCCUACCAUCCUGGUUUCCUGAGUUCGGGCUGCUUGCGGAGUGGGCAUGGAUGGAGCGGUGUUGGGCUCGAAGGGAAGGGAGUGGAUCGUCCGCCGGCAUGCUCGCCGCCGUGCCAUCCGUGUUCCUCCAACGAUGGCCUGUAUCGCCCACGUCCAGGUCCUCCAGAUCCUAAUUAUGCUAUGGCAUCUGAUUUUGCACAUAUUAGGUAGAAAAUUAAGGGAAAUCAAAGUCGGAAGAACUGAAGAUUCUAUGCACUCUGUAUACAAGAAGUAAAAGCUGCCUAUUCCUACAACAAGUAUGCAUAUGAGCAUAUCACAUACGGAUAAGGAUCCACGAGUGGGUAUUACUUUCAGAACGUUUGUUAGAAUCAUUCUUUAUACGAACUUGAUUGUACUUUCAGCCACAGAGCUGCAAAUUUCGUGGGCUAAUGCAUGAUAUGAUAGCAUAAUAUAAUCUGGAGGACCUUCAGACUUGGCUCUCUGCUGGGGUGAAGGCUGUGAAGUGGUUUGCCGCAGAUUCAGAGGCCAUUUUUCUUACCAAUUUGCACAUGCUCUACAGUUCAGAGCUGGUUUUUAUUUCUCCUUAAAGAAAUCCGGUUUAAUUUUCUGCUAGUUUUUUGCUUUAUCUUCUUUAGCUCAUAUUCUUCUAUAACAUGGUGCUUUUUUAUCUCUUAUGAACGUAAGCAGCACGCAUCGCAGUGCUCGACAGUGACAAGCAGGUUCUGCAGGGUACCAUGGUGCUAUGUAUCAAUGGCUUAAAAUUGCAGUCAGGAGGAUGUUGUCGGGCCUCCUGGGACGGAUAUAUCCUACUAAGUGAAAGUUGCCGCGGCGGAGACUGACUUUACUUCUUCUUCAGAUUGGCCGAUGAUACAACAUGCACCCCAACCUGGCUUGGCAAGGUACAUUAAAAUGUAUCAUUCUGCAGUAUGAAAGGCUUUCCAAAUUGACCUUUACCAACAAAGCUCGACAAGGCAGUGUUCGAGGGUGUGCCUAGGUGAAACACAUGGUCUCCAUCACCCUUUCCUUCUAGAGCCAGUACCAGGGAGGCAAGCCCAGGAUCACAUUCUUGGCCCUGAUUGAAGGAACGACGAUUUUCAGGAUUGACAUGGAUGGAUUUUUCUUGAACAUGACGGUGUCAUUUUUGUUGCCAUAUUGAACACUAUAGAUCAUUAGUUCAGAGGUUUCCUCUCAUUUUUGUUGCCAUUGAACACUAAAGAAAAUGGCAGGGACAGAAGAAUAUAAACAUAGAUUUCUCGCUCUACAUAUCUCUUUUCUGUAGGAGGCUCGUGAUGGCACACAACAAUGAAGGGGACGAGAUAAAAUAGGAGGAUGUCUGAGGAGCAGGGCCAAGACUAAACAAAAAACGAAGAAUGCCUUUUCAUUUCAUGAUCAUAAAACACUACUAAGCUUAUUUUCCAUAUGGCAACUGUCGGAGCUAAGAGGCAGCCCCCGAAGCACCAACACGACGCCACCUGGUCUGCCAUCUCCCAAGAUAUGGAAUCAGCAGCGCGCCACGCGGAUGGAACCCGGCCGAGAUCAUGGAAUGCUUCCUUAUAGGGCUCGCCAAGAUUGCUAUUCUGAACUUUUUUGUAAACAAAGUGAAGAGUGGGACAUGAUCUGCACUUGUGCUAAUAUAAAAUAUACAGUACUUGUAUGUAACUCGAUCCACUGUGUCCGAUCAUAAGGUGACAAUGGCGGCACAACAGCCAGGAG